CCCACCCCCUGCCAGCCGGCUAAUUUGCUCCAGGGUUUUUAAAGAGAGAACAACCAAGGAAAGAAACGGCACACAAAUGUAUUUACACUAAAUUCAUAGGGUGGGAGAGUUACUCUUCAGGGACGAAGCUGGCAGGGAUUUCAGUGCCGGAGAAAGCUACGCUGGUUUCCCUUCUCUGGGGCCUUCUACAGCUCAGCCUUGAUGCACACGAUGGAGACAGAUGAAGUGUCGGUGAUGGGGUGUGUACAGGCAUUGCUUGGCUGUGCACCCUCUAGGCUGGAAGGGCGACGGAAGCAGAGAAAUGGAAAUCCAGAGAGGCAGCAAGAUGCCAAAGAGGCUGUAUCCGUCUAUAAUCUAGGGGAAGACGAUGGGCAUCUGCAUCUCUCCUCAGCUCCCAACUGUAUUUGCCAGCUGCAGUCCUGUCCCUUGAAUGCAUGUACAUCUAACUGGAAUUCGGGGCUAAAUAUUGGCUGGUUCGAUUUGUGCCCCCAGAGAACCAACAAGGGAUAAAUAGCAACAUGAUUUACAGAGCACUUCAACUGCUUUCCUGCAUGCCCACAGGAGACGGGGGAGACCCCAAGGCCUGCUAUUUCCAGGCAGCGAUGUUCCUGGCUAUAAGCCGAGCUGACAGUCUUUGAGAACAGUCUUCCCCUCCUUGAAUCCCUUCCUACUCCUCAACCUUCGUUUGCCGACUUGGGGUGCCUAUACAUCCCGUGGGGUUUAAUCCUCAUUAAAAUUAAAUAGGUUUAUAAAAUUUAAA